rnacentral:rRNA from 1 species
UACGUAGGGUGCAAGCGUUGUCCGGAAUUAUUGGGCGUAAAGAGCUCGUAGGCGGUCUGUCGCGUCGGAUGUGAAAACUCGGGGCUCAACCCCGGGCCUGCAUUCGAUACGGGCAGACUAGAGUACGGCAGGGGAGACUGGAAUUCCGUGGUGUAGCGGUGAAAUGCGCAGAUAUCAGGAGGAACACCGGUGGCGAAGGCGGGUCUCUGGGCCGAAACUGACGCUGAGGAGCGAAAGCGUGGGUAGCAAACAGG